rnacentral:lncRNA from 1 species
AAACUAAUUGAGAAUCAAAUGUCAUUGCUUCCAGAGAUCAUCCAGAAUUCAGCACCACUAUAUCAAAGCAGACCUGGUCUCAUCUGAUCUGGGAAGUUAAACAGGAUCAGUAUUUAGAUGGGAGACCACCAGGGAAGGAGCGACUUGAAAAACUGGAAAUCGCUUCUAGUGUGGGAGAAUUGGCCGUCUGCAAGGAUGUUGCCCAGGGGAUGCCUGGAUGUUUGUUGUUUUUACCAUCCUUGUGGAAGGCUUCUCAUGUGUCCUCGCAUGGUGAGCUGGAGCUGACAGAAGGAGCUCAUCCAUGCUCUCCCUGGAUUUGAACUGGCAACCUUCAGGUCAGCAACCCAACCUUCAGGUCAGCAGUCCUGCCGGCACAAGGGUUUAACCCAUCGCACCACCUUAUGAAAAGGAUGCAAGUAAAUGAUGAUUAUCCUGGGACCACCAAAUACAAUCCAAUAAAUUGUUUCAUUGGAAGAUCUCUGGGUUUUUGUUUUUGUUUUAUAAAUCAAAAUCAAACCAUACAUUUUCAAAAAUAAUAUAUCCAAGAAAUGGCUCGUUUAAAGCCUAUAGGCAGAGCUUGAAAAGAAAAAACCUUUCUUUGUUUGGACCACAACUUCUAUUGUCCAUGCUGUUUGGGGGAUACUGCGAAUGGUAAUACCAACUGUGACUUUUCUAAGCUACGGUCCACAAUGAGCCAGGUUAAAGCAAAUGAAAAUUCAUGUUUUCUUCCUUCACGCUCUGGUCACCUGAAUUUUACAAGAUGGGUCACAACAUUAACUUCCCCCAGUUUCAUAUUCACAUGUGUUCUUCUUUCUAAUAUUUCCAAUGUGAAAUAAAGUUGUUUAGAACAAAAUCAGCAAAGCAGGGACUUCUGA